rnacentral:rRNA from 1 species
UGGGGAAUUUUGGACAAUGGGGGAAACCCUGAUCCAGCCAUCCCGCGUGUGCGAUGAAGGCCUUCGGUUUGUAAAGCACUUUUGGCAGGAAAGAAACGUCAUGGGUUAAUACCCCGUGAAACUGACGGUACCUGCAGAAUAAGCACCGGCUAACUACGUGCCAGCAGCCGCGGUAAUACGUAGGGUGCAAGCGUUAAUCGGAAUUACUGGGCGUAAAGCGUGCGCAGGCGGUCCGGAAAGAAAGAUGUGAAAUCCCAGAGCUCAACUUUGGAACUGCAUUUUUAACUACCGGGCUAGAGUGUGUCAGAGGGAGGUGGAAUUCCGCGUGUAGCAGUGAAAUGCGUAGAUAUGCGGAGGAACACCGAUGGCGAAGGCAGCCUCCUGGGAUAACACUGACGCUCAUGCACGAAAGCGUGGGGAGCAAACAGG